CAGGCCUAACGCAUGCAAGUCGAACGGGUGAGUAACACGCGAGUAACCUGCCCUUAACUCUGGGAUAAGCGUUGGAAACGACGUCUAAUACCGGAUAGGACUCCAUCGGGCAUCUGGUGGGGUGGAAAGAUUUCUCGGUCAUGGAUGGACUCGCGGCCUAUCAGCUUGUUGGUGGGGUGAUGGCCUACCAAGGCGACGACGGGUAGCCGGCCUGAGAGGGCGACCGGCCACACUGGGACUGAGAUACGGCCCAGACUCCUACGGGAGGCAGCAGUGGGAAUAUUGCACAAUGGGCGCAAGCCUGAUGCAGCAACGCCGCGUGCGGGAUGACGGCCUUCGGGUUGUAAACCGCUUUCACCUGUGACGAAGCGGGAGUGACGGUAGCAGGAGAAGAAGGACCGGCUAACUACGUGCCAGCAGCCGCGGUAAU
rnacentral:rRNA from 1 species